rnacentral:rRNA from 1 species
AGCGAACGCUGGCGGCAGGCCUAACACAUGCAAGUCGAACGAACUCUUCGGAGUUAGUGGCGGACGGGUGAGUAACACGUGGGAACGUGCCUUUAGGUUCGGAAUAACUCAGGGAAACUUGUGCUAAUACCGAAUGUGCCCUUCGGGGGAAAGAUUUAUCGCCUUUAGAGCGGCCCGCGUCUGAUUAGCAAGUUGGUGAGGUAACGGCUCACCAAGGCGACGAUCAGUAGCUGGUCUGAGAGGGUGACCAGCCACACUGGGACUGAGACACGGCCCAGACUCCUACGGGAGGCAGCAGUGGGGAAUCUUGCGCAAUGGGCGAAAUCCUGACGCAGCCAUGCCGCGUGAAUGAUGAAGGUCUUAGGAUUGUAAAAUUCUUUCACCGGGGACGAUAAUGACGGUACCCGGAGAAGAAGCCCCGGCUAACUUCGUGCCAGCCGCCGCUGUAAAAC